CGAGACUGUCCAACUUUUCCAGAAAGGCUAUUAUUGCGGGAAGAGUGCGGCCUCUGUCGGCGGAGUGCGGCGUUGCAGGUGAAGCCAAGGGGCUUUGCAUCAGACCAGUCCUUGUUUAAUGUUCAUGCUAUCGUCCAUAGUUUUGUUUGAAGUCAACUCGGUAUUAGGUCAGUAUCCUUGUUCUGUCUGGCUCCCCACUUUUCACACAAAGCCUUCAAAUAGCUAAGGAGCAACCGGAAUUGCUUCUGGAGUGAGAAAAUUGGCCGUCUGCAAGGACAUUGCCCAGGGGACGCCCGGAUGUUUUGAUGUUUUACCAUCCUUGUGGGAGGCUUCUCUCAUGUCCCCGCAUGGAGCUGGAGCUGAUAGAGGGAGCUCAUCCGCGCUCUCCCCGGGUGGGAUUCGAACCUGGCAGCCUUCAGGUCAGCAACCCAAUCUUCCAGUCACAAGGCUUUUAUCCCCUAGGCCAUCGGAGGCUCCUACAUAUGCUGGUAAACAAAAGGCAAGUGAUAGACAGAAAGUGUCAAUUUUCUCUGUAUAUUCCCAUGCCAAUGAUCUCACUACCCAUAUUGACAGGUGUUGGAGAUGCAUUGUAGUUCAAUUCCAAAUCAGUUCAGCGGCAUAUAAAUCCCCAGUAAGAAAUUCAUAUCUUGACAGGGAACAUGGACCUUUAGUCCCAUCAUGUCCCACAUAAGAGGCAAUAUUGGGAAACAGAGGCCCCUUCUACACUGCCAUAUAAAAUCCAGAUUAUCUGCUUUGAACUGGAUUAUAUAGUAGUGUAGACUCAUAUAAACCAGUUCAAAGCAGAGAAUGUGGACGAUCUACUUUAAUAAUCUGGAUUAUAUGGCAGUGUAGAAGGGGCCCCAAUGGUUUUCCAUGGCCAAGCAGGGAUUAAAACCAUGGUUGCCAGAGUCAUAGUCCAAUAUUCAAAUCACUAUACAACCCUGGCUCCGUCAAAACUUAAUCAUAAGACAUGAUCUUCAGAAGUAAUACAAAUGUUUGCUCUACUCUGGAGUCUAUACGGUAUUUAAAGUGAAAGCUGUGAUGAUGAUUUGUGUCUUGAAGUUGGUCAGCGUGACUUCCUUUUUGCUUUUCAAACUAUGGCAACUCUAGGUUACACAAAUAAACAAGUUUUUGAACGUUCAUCAAUGCUGCAGAAUAAAUGCAAGUUGACACCACUUUAACUACUAUGGUUCAAUGCUCUGGGAUUUGCAGACCCAAUUCAAAAUGGUGAUCAUAAGGAGCAAAAUCCUAAGUGGGUUUGGUCUAGACUUCUUAAAAACUAUCUUCUCCCACAUCAUUAUCUUGAUCAUUUAGAUCUUUUGUCACAGGGCCUAUAGUUGCCUCCCAUUGGCACCAGAGGUUCGGCUAGUUGCGGUUGUUGUAUGUUUUCUGGGCUGUAUAGCCAUGUUCUAGAAGUAUUCUCUCCUGACAUUUCGCCCACAUCUAUGGCAGGCAUCUUCAGAGGUUGUGAGCUAUGGAGAAACUCAACAAGGAAGGUUUAUAUAUAUCUGUGGGAAGUCCAGGGUGAGGGAAGAACUCUUGUCAGUUGGAGGCCAGCGUGAAUGUUGCAGUUAAACACCCUAAUUUGCAUUGAAUGGCUUCAUCUAUUGGCUACUUUCUGCCUGGGGGCAUCCUUUGUUAGCUGCCCCUAGUUCCCAUGUCUCAGAGUGUUGCUUCUUAUUUACUGUUCUGAUCUUUGAGUUUUUUAAUACUGAUAGCCAGAUUUUGUUCAUUUUCAUGGUUUCCUCCUUUCUGUUGAAGUUGUCCACAUGCUUGUGUAUUUCAAUGGCUUCUCUGUGUAGUCUGACAUGAUAGUUGUUGGAGUGGUCAAGCAUUUCUGUGUUCUCAGAUAAUAUACUGUGUCCAGGUUGGUUCAUCAGGUGCUCUGCUAUGGCUGAUUUCUCUAGUUGAGUUAGUCUGCAGUGCCUUUCAUGUUCUUUGACUCGUGUUUGGGUGCUGCAUUUGGUGGUCCCUAUGUAGACUUGGCCACAGCUGCAUGGUAUACGGUAGACUCCCGCAGAGGUGAGAGGAUCCCUCUUGUCCUUAGCUGACCGUAGCAUUUGUUGGAUUUUCUUUGUGGGUUUGUAGGUUGUGUUUCUUCAUCAGUUUUCCUAUGUGGUCAGUGGUUUCCUUGAUGUAUGGUAAGAACACCUUUCCUCUGGGUGGAUCUUUGUUUUUACUCUCCUGGCUUGGUCUUGGCCUUACAGCUCUUCUGAUGUCCAUGGUGGAGUAUCCAUUGCCUGUAGAGCCCAGUUUAGGUGGUUUAGUUCACCUUGGAGGAGGUGAGGUUCGCAGAUUCUUUGUGCAUGGUCUAUCAGGGCUUUGAUUGUGCUUCUUUUUUUCUUGGGUGAUAGUUGGAGUUUUUAUGAAGGUAUCUAUCUGUGUGUGUAGGUUUUCUGUAAACUGUGGCCCAAUUGUUGAUUGGGUUUGCAGAUGACCAGAACAUCUAGAAAUGGCAGUUUUCCUUCCUUUCCCUUUUCCAUGGUGAAUUGGAUGUUUGGGUGGAUGCUGAGUUCCUCUUCCCCAUGGCUCCAAAUGGUAAAGGUGUCAUCAACAUAUCUGAACCAUACAGUUGGCUAUUUUGGCACUGUUUCUAGGGCCUGUUUUUCAAAGUAUUCCAUAUAGAAAUUUGCUACUACUGGGCUGAGAGGGCUCCUGAUGGCCACUCCCUCUUUCUGUUCAUAGUAUCCAUUGUCCCACUGAAAGUAACUAGUGGUGAGACAAUGGUGAAACAGGGCUGUGAUGUCUUCUGGGAAGUUUUGUUUGAUUAGUGUGAGGGUGUCAGCUACCGGGACCUUAGUAAAUAGGGACACCACAUCGAAGCUGAUCAGGAUGUCCUUGGUGUUUAACUUGAGGUUGCUGAUCUUUUCUAUGAAGUGUGUUGAGUCCUUGAUAUAGUGCGCAGUGAGCCCAAUAUGGGUUUGUAGCUGUGUAGCCAGAAUUUUUGCCAGGUUGUAAGUCGGCGAUCCAGUGGCACUCACAAUAGGUCUGAGUGGGAUGGCGUCCUUGUGGAUUUUUGGGAGUCCAUAAAGCCUGGGUGGGAGGGCUUCUGAUUUGCACAGCUGUUGGCAUAUGUCGAAGUUAAUGGAGGAGUUCUUGAUCAGAGUGUUAGUUUUUCUGGUGAUUUUGCUAGUUGGGUCUUGUUUUAGUUUCUUGUAUAUUCGGCUAGUUUUCUGAACCAGGGUCCAAGAUACUUAUUGGAAAACAAUAGCUCAUUGUCAGACUAUGUAAGUGGAACACAGUGAAAUGGCAUCUGUUUCAGCUCUUAAAUAGGACACACUGCAAACAAAACAAAGGUGUAGUUUACAGAGACAUUUGGAUUUGGCAGACUACUCUGUUGUGGGCUAUUCAUGAUACUGAAAGUGCUUAGAUCUAUUUAUGCUUCAAUUAAUUUUGUACUUUAAGAAGCUGGAUGCAAUUUAAGGAAAGCACCAACCCUUCUGUCUUCUCAGACAGUAAUCAAGUAUUUACUUUCUUCAGAAUUAAUUACUCACAGGGCUAUUUCUGCUUGUUUCAUUUUAUGACGGUAGCCGAUAUGACAUAUAUUGCAGAUUUCUCACUAUUUCAGCAUCAUGUUUUCAGUCUUCUAAUUUCCCAGAUGGGGCUGUAGCAGAUGUAGGCAAGGGCAGUUGGCGGAUGGACAGACUCGAGCAUGUCUGGAAAUGAUACCCCACACUUGACAGGGGAUUUUGUUUCUUCAGAGCAGCGUUCUGCAUAAGGGCUUCUCUUGGCAGCAGUCCAGGUGAAGAUAAGGUGAAGAUAAGGUUCCAAAAUGCUGAAGGGGCUGAGCAUGAAAAAAGGAACAGGAGAACUCACUGCCAAUAUGGUCCCAUUCAGGAGGACAUGCUGAACUAUGUCAGAAGGACAUUGAAACGAACAGGAAUGCUACAAGCACUCUUCUUGAACAAAGACAGCAAGGAGCUUCAUGAUGUUUGUUAUCAGAAGGAAAGUUUUUUUAAAAAAAUCUACUUAAAAAGGGGAAAACUAAGGGCCAAAGGAAGCACAAUACAGUGUUCCCUCACUACUUCGCGGUUCACUUUUCGUGGAUUCGCUGUUCACCGUUUUUCAAUAAACUCUAAAAGACUAUUAUAAAUAAUAAAAAUUACAAGGAAGGGAGGAAGGAGAAGCCGAAGGAAGAGAAAAGGAGCCCAAGCGUCAACAGGAGGAGAAGGAGGUCAUUUAUCAGCACACUAUUGGUUGAUAAAGACUUAAAAUAGUGUAUAACUACUAAAAUAAUGUAUAAAUAUUAAAAUAAAUAUAGUGUCCCUAAUUUGCGGAUUUUCACUUAUUGCGGGUGGUCCUGGAACCUAACUUCAGUGAUAAGUGAGGAAACACUGUACUUUGGGUUUCAAUAUUUAUUUUGAACUGCCUUAUUUCAGUAGAGGAUUGCCAAGCUUGGGUUUCAGCUUCUGUAAGCAGAGUUCAGUUCAUGGAGGAAAAUUGAGUUUUCUUGUUGCCUUAAUUUCUCUUGUAGAUCCCUCUGUCAUUUUGAAAUGUUGCUCUUGAGAGCAAGAAAAUCUUCUUGAAUAGUAAAAGGUAAAGGUUUCCCCUGACGUUAAGUCCAGUUGUUUCCGACUCUGGGGGUUGAUGCUCAUCUCCAUUUCUAAGCCGAAGAGCCAGCGUUGUCCAAAGACACCUCCAAGGUCAUGUGGCUGGCAUGACUGCAUGGAGCACCGUUACCUUCCCGCUGAAGCGGUACCUAUUGAUCUACUCACAUUUGUAUGUUUUUGAACUGCUAGGUUGGCAGGAGCUGGGGCUAACAGCGGCUGCUCAUUCUGCUCCUGGGAUUUGAACCUGGGACCUUUUGGUCCAUAAGUUCAGCAGUUCAGCACUUUAACACAAUGUGCCACCAGGGGCUCUUGAAUAGUAGAACCCAAAAAUUAUAGUUUAACUCCCAAGCAACUACUUUUUUUUGUUUCAUUUUGUAUUUUUACUGUUUCAUUUAUUUAUCUUGUUGUGUGCAGACAUGAAUAUUACACUCUCUGUGUGUAUGUAUAUAUGUGUGUGUGUGAAAGAGCACAUAAAUAAUAAUAAUAAUAAUAAUAAUAAUAUGAAAUCCAGCAUGCCUGUCUUGUUUGCUGUGUCAUACAAUAAUAAUAAUAAUAAUAAUAAUAAUAAUAAUAAUAAUAAUAAUAAUUUAUUUAUACCCCGCUACCAUCUCCCUGAAGAAACUCAGGGCGGCUCACAGUAGCACUCCAAGUGCUGUAUAUAAACAACAAUACAUAGGUAUAUACACAGUGACACAAGUAUAAAACCCAACACAUAUAAAACCCAGCUAAUGUAAAAAGUAUAAAGUUUCCUAAAAUGCAGUAGAACCUGCAAAUAAAGCUGCCUGUCUGCAGUAACAGAUCAAAUCAUUGUGCGGAGUGACACAAUUGGUGGCUCAUCGAGGUGGCUAUAGAUUACACAGGUCAAAGGCCUGUCUGAAGAGCCAUAUUUUUAAACUUGCCUGAAAGGCUUGAAGAGUGGGGGCUAAUUUAAUUUCUUUAGGGAGGGUAUUCCAGAACCAGGGAGCCACCACCGAGAAGGCCCUCUCUCUUGUCCCCAUCAACCAUACUUGAGAUGGUGGUGGUACUGAGAGAGGGGCCUCUCGAGCAGAUCUCACUGCUGGUUCAUAGAAGGAAAUGUGGUCUUGAAGAUAGGUUAGACCUGAAGUGUAUAGGGCUUUACCUGCACUUUGAAUUAGGCCUGGAAACUUGUCAGAAGCCAGUGGAGCUUCUUUAAAAGGGGCUUGGCAUGCUCUCUAAAGCUCGCUCCAGUUAGUAAUCUGGCUGCCGAUCUUUGCACUUAAUGCAGUUUCAGAGUCAUCUUCAGAGGCAGCCCCAUGUAGAGUGCAUUACAGUAGUGUAUUCUGGAUGUAACUAAGGUGUGGCCAAGUCAGGCUUUUUGAGGUACGGUCACAGAUGGCACACAUAUUUUAACUGUGUGAAUGCCCUCUCGGCCACUGCCGACACCUGAGCUUCAAGUGUCAGCGAUGAAUCCAGGAGACACCCAGACUGUGAACCUGUCUCCUCAGGGGGAGUGUAACCCCAUCAAGAAUAGGUUUCCACCCUAUUUCCUGAUCGGCCUUGCAACUGGACCUCUGUUUUAUCUGGAUUAAGUCUCACCUUGUUGACCCUCAUCCAAUCCAUCACUGCCAGGCACUUGGUAGAAUUUGGUAGAAAAGAGUAGUACAAAAAGAGUAGUAGAGUUUUAUGUCAUCUGCAUAGAAAUGGCAUCCAACUCCAAAACUCGGAAUGACUCCACCCAGCGGUUUCAUGUAGAUGUUGAAAAGUAUGGGGGAAAGAACCUUGUGGGACCCCACAGGUCAAUGGCCAGGGAUCAGAGCAGGUGUCCCCUAGCAUCACCAUCUGGAUAUGAUCCUCCAGGAAGGAGCGGAGCCUCUGAAACGCAGUAUCCCCAAGACCCAUUCUGGAGAGCUGACCCAGAAGGAUACCAUGGUCAAUGGUAUCAAAAGCUUACUGCAGUGGACCUUCUAAUAUCCCACUCCCAGUCAUAACUGAGGCCCCCUCUACACUGCUAUAUAAUCCAGAUUAUUAAAGCAGAUAAUACACAUUAAAUGAGUCUACACUGCCAUAUAAUCCAGUUUAAAGCAGAUGAUCUAGAUUUUAUAUGGUAGUGUAAAAGGGGCCUGAAAUUCCCCUGGGCAUUUCCAUUAUAAAUUAAUCUAAAUGGGGAAUUGCCAAAUCAACUAUGAAGCCAAGGAGAUAUUGCAUUAUAACUUAGAUAAAUAUAUAAAAUGGAUUAUUUAUCUGUCUGUUUUUCAAUUGCCUCUGCUUCACCUGUGGACCAUAUGACUUCCCCUCCAUUAAUAAUGCAGGCUUUGGAAGCAAAGCAGUUUUUGGAACCAGCUGGAUAUUCAUGAAAGAAACAUAUUCUGCAGUCAUUAUUUUAAUUAAUGUUAGAUUUUGCCUAACUGCUUAGUAUCUUUGGUGACAUCAGAUGUUCCUUGAAGGUCUGCUGUGGAGUGCAUCCAAGACUAUCUCUUUGGGGGACGGUUUCACUAUAUUGUCUUGGAUUGAGACAAAAGUUUCAUAGGCAUUCUUAUUUUUUUAAAAAUGCUAUCCUGCCUGCCUAAGUAAUGAACCGACAGCUCCAUCUGCACUGGAUAGAUUCUCAAAAAAAAAACAUUUUCUCAUGAAUAAAUUGUGCGAGGCAUAACACAGGGAUGAGCUGAUCUUAAGGAUAUGUACGUGGUUGGGACAGCAGGCCAUGUGAAGGUGCUUGUAGAUGUGUGUUUUUUUUAAAAAUCAAAGCAGUGAGAAUAAAGAAUACAUCACAUUAAAAUGAACAGCUAAUCAAACAACUGGCCAAAUAAAGAAGGAAAAAUUAGCCAUAUAUUUCAAUUGCUUCAUAAAGUGAAGUGCCUGUAGAAUUCAAACUUUAUUUGCAAUCCCUUUGGUUUUCUCUGACUAGUUGCUGUUAGGUAUUCAUAUCCAUUCUAAGAUUGCUUCUGUGUGGCUCAUGUUGCCGACAUGACUGCAGAAUAAAACAUUCAUUUUGAAGUAUAGAGACGCUAAGGGCUUAUGUAUAAUAUAUUAAUCCACAAAGUGCAGUGUUCUGUUGCCGACAUCAGGCAUGAGGUCUCUGAAAUCAGAGUAAUCAGCCCAAAUCUCUAAGGCAUUAAAAAGUAGCUCCAGAGCAUAUGGAACACACGUAUAGUAUAAACAAAAUUUACCAAAAUGAAUCUAUUUGGGGGAUAUUUUCACUAUGAAGAAUCAUGUAGACCUUCCUCUUCAUAAUUUUUCCUCAUCUCAUAGAGUAAGAAUACUGCUGUAAGCUCUCUUCCUUUUUCAGUAUCUCAAGGAAGUAACUUUACAUUGGACUCAAAGAAAGAAUUCUUAAAGGGAAUAUUUUCUAAGGCAGUGCUGCGGCAUUCAAAGAGGCAUGAAUGGAGGGCUUAAGGGAGAAACGUGCCAAGAGGAAGGAGCAUUAAGCCAACCCUGACUGGGACCGCCUUCCACCUGGAAACCGAUGUCCUCACUGCGGGAGAACAUGCAGAUCAAGAAUAGGUCUCUUCAGCCAUCUACGGACACCCCCCCCCCCAAGAUGGAAGUCCAUCCUCGAACUACGAGAGAUCGCCUAAAUAGCAAAAAAUAAAAUAAAAAGUGUACUUCAGUAUCUUUUUGUUCAGUAUUUAUUGAUUGCUUCAUAUGUUUAUAUAUGCGUUUUAAUUGCUGCUAUUUUGUACUGUAUUUAAUGUGUUAGAAGCGGUCUCUUCGUGGGAGAAAAGCGGAAUAUAAAUAAAUAUUUAUCAUUAUUAUUA